UACGUAGGGUGCGAGCGUUGUCCGUAAUUAUUGGGCGUAAAGAGCUCGUAGGCGGCCUGUCGCGUCGGAUGUGAAAGCCCGGGGCUUAACCCCGGGUCUGCAUUCGAUACGGGCAGGCUAGAGUGUGGUAGGGGAGAUCGGAAUUCCUGGUGUAGCGGUGAAAUGCGCAGAUAUCAGGAGGAACACCGGUGGCGAAGGCGGAUCUCUGGGCCAUUACUGACGCUGAGGAGCGAAAGCGUGGGGAGCGAACAGG
rnacentral:rRNA from 1 species